CCCUGUCGCUCCGGAGCUGGCGCGUGGCCUCCCGAAGGAAUGGUGCAGAGAGAAGGUAGGAAAUCCUGAUGCUCCGGCACUGGUCAGCUGUGUGCCCCUGGACUUCUGAGACCACCAGAUUUCUCUCUGAGACCACCUCCACGGGGGGCUCAACAAGUGGCUGCUUUACUGGGGGCCGGUUUUCCUUCUGGGUCAUCUGCACCCUCUGCCACCACCACCCCUCUCCCCCGGCCCCAGCCAUCCCACUCCCGAGGGCUUGCACAGUUUUCAACAGCCAUAGAUCCCAGAAAUCUGGGAAAGAGAAAUUUUAAAAACCACAAAAGAGUCUUUAAAAAAAGAAGAAGGAAGAGGAAAAACACUUUUACGCACUGUCCACACCUCUGUCACUCUCAGUGAGCUUCGGAAGGGACUCCGACUCAGUGGCAGUGUGGGCAACCCCCAAUCCCUCCCCACGCCGACCGAGUGGCGAAGGCAGUCGCCGAUGCCCGGACCGCUUCUCCUCCAGCCCGCGGGGCCCCUGCUCCGAGGGCCCUGUGCGCUCCCACGCGGUGCUGCACAGCGCACGCUCCUGGUGCCUCUCCACCGCGGGUCCCCUCUGCCGCCCACCAGUCAGACCCGGGACGGCAGGGACUAAGCUGACAAUAAUUCAUAGCGCCCCCCCUUUUCUCUGGAGAACAGCCCUUUGUCUGGGAGGAUACGCCCUCCCUCGACCAAGGUCAAUGUCAGACCGACUCCGUGGAGUGAACAAUAGACUGGCUUCCUGCCUCAAGGCUGCUCUGACGCUGGGACAGAGUUCACAGCCCACGGCUCCCCUCGCCCUUCUCCCCAGAGCUGUCUGCCAAUAAACCACCGGGACAGGCAGCUCUGACUCCGGAUCUGCUCCAGGGAACCUGGGCUGAGCCCGGCUCUGAUCUAACAACCCUGAGGACUUCCUCUGACUGGCCCACUACCCUCGGGGGACGUGGAGCCCACGCUUCAUCCGUGGGAUUGCUGUUCCUUGGGUACGGUGUCUGAGAUGGUCAGAGCAGGAGCACAGCUUAGUCGACACCCAGCUCAGCAUUUCCCAGAGCGCUCCGGGAAGAUCAAUAAUCCCAUGCCAUGUGGGGAAACCGAAGGGAUUUCUGCCUGCAGGUGCAUGUAGGGAAUUCUGACUUAGAGGUGAGAAGGAUCUCUUCAUGAGAGGGCUGCCCGUGGACUUAAAUAUUCAUUCAAACAGAUUCUGGAACCUAUAGCAGCUUUUCCCCACCUCUGCACCGUUGACAUUUGGCUCAUUCUUUGCCGUGGGGCCAUCCUGGGCCUUACGGAUGUGGAGCAGAUCCCUGGCCUCUGCCCACGAGACGCCAGUCGCACCCCCACACACCUGCACGACCAGCGCAACUUGUCCCAGGCACUGCCCAGCGUCCUCUGGGGGCCAGAACCUGCCGGCGUGGGGGCCGUUGCCCUAGAAGAAAGGUGGUGUCCACCAUACCCUUUUGUUUCCCUCUGGUUUUUCGGCACCCAUUGGAACUAGAACCCUGCAGGAUGUAACGGAAAUCAGCCCAAACCAGCUUCCCUUCUAUAGGCGAGGUAACUGAGGCCCCGAAAGGGGAGAGGGUCUCCCCACAAAAACCAAGUGAGUCUGUAACAAAUUCACAGCUCCACCGAAGCCCCCCCACACCCCGCCAAGGUGUAGGUGUGUUUCCAGAGGGCGCUGCCAGGCAGAGCAAGACGCAGCCCCAGGUGGGACCCAGCGCAGAAGGAGGAAACCCAGCCUUCUCCGGGCCUCCCUCGGCCACGGCCUUUUCUCCGUCCCCAGGGACCCUUUCGCUCCCGCCCAAACACAAGACCCACGUCACGCUUAACCUCUGCGCCUAACGUCCCGGCCACGCCCCGCCGCCAGCACACGCCCACGGCUCUCCAUCCCAGCACCGAGGAGAACACCCUCUUCCUGCCUCUUCCUGCGGCUCACAGAACCCAGCAAUCGUCCUCAGUGGAGGCGCCUACACACUCUUACAACAUCUGCCUGCGAGUCUAGACGUUUCUUACACCGACGGCUCUCACAACAGCUGGGCGGCACACCCGAGAUUCCCAUUUCUAAGCCGACACUCAGAAACUGAGGGGACGGGUCACGUGGCUCGUCGGGAAUGUGCAGGAGCCGGCACUAACGCAAGUCCGAGUGGUCCCCAGGCCCAUCUGGGGACCACCCUGUCAGACUGGGGAUGCUCCUGGAACCCCAGCGCCCAGAGACACGCGGUGACCUUCUGGAGGGGGGCCCGGCCCGGCAGCCUCAGCCUCACCUCGAGGGACCUCCCGGGCCUAAGCAGGUGCAGGUGCGGCCUCUGUGUCCCCGCACGGCGUCUUUUCUGGAUUCCGCUGUCCUCUGGGUCCUGCGCUCGCUCCUCCCGUCAGCGUGGACUGCCCGGCAUCAGGGUUUGCACACGAACUGCAAAGAUUUCUCAGACGGGGGGUGAGACUUUCUCCGGGGCCUCGGUGCUCCGAGUUUCUGUCCCCUGGUCCUCGUGGCCCCGUCCUGAGGGCCGCACAGGCCGGGGGGACAGCGCUGCCUGUGUUCCCCGCUGCUUGUGGGGGGCGGAGCUCCCCGCAUCCCCGCUGGUGCCGCAGUCUGGUCACCUUUGGGGGAGGAAGAGACUUUCUCCCACUUUUCUAGGUUCCUCCGGCUGGUCUGCUACUGAGAUCAACAGGAGACGGAUUAACGAGAGAAAACAACCGCCUCUAAUUACGUGCGGCUGCGUGGGAGCCGCCUG